rnacentral:SRP_RNA from 2 species
AUGCACUAGACGGGGAACUAGCGAUGCCCUGUAACCUGCAAUCGCUACAGCAGGGUUGAAUUCCCAGCCUAGGCAUAGUAAAUCUUAAGUCUGCCCUAAAAAAGUGGUGUUGACAAAUGGGUCUUGCGCAACAGGAACCUAUGAACCUGGUCAGAUCAGGAAUGAAGCAGCCAUAAGUAGUCACUCUUGUGUGCCGCAAGGAAGCCUGUUUCGAGCUAACUAUUUAGGUAACGUUAAAGUUUGCUAUGACGAAGCUGGGUGUGCUU